rnacentral:lncRNA from 1 species
UUCCAGGGUUCUUCUAGUCUUCAGGGUUCCCUUUUGUCUGGAUAGUCGCCAUGAUGGAUUGGGUAUUGGAUUGGAAGUUAGAGGAUAUAAAAUCUAGUGACAGUUUAACUCCUUAUGAAGUUGCCAACCUCCUUAUAAAGUUGCCAACCUCCUUAUAAAGUUGCCAACCCGGAAGAAGAUUCUCGAGAACUGUGCUUAUGAAGGAAGAAGGAUUUCCUCCCUAGUUUCUACAUCCUCUCAAAGGCUUGCUUAGUGUUCAACUUUGCUUUC